rnacentral:rRNA from 1 species
UUUAUGGAGAGUUUGAUCCUGGCUCAGGAUGAACGCUGGCGGCGUGCCUAAUACAUGCAAGUCGAGCGAACGGACGAGAAGCUUGCUUCUCUGAUGUUAGCGGCGGACGGGUGAGUAACACGU